CGUGCACGGCAAGGUGUUGCGGGGGAUCCGCGAGAGGAACUGGCGGUUUAGCAUGACAAGAUUAGGGAGGUGAUUGUUAGCACUAAUCUUGUCAUGAUGUACCAGCAUGCAUGUUUAGUUUUGAGUUUGCAUGUAGUUUAGAUGAUCUAGGGCAGUGUAUGUAGGCCAAUGAUACUUCAGCUACGCGCGUGAAGAAAGCGAGAUGUCGGGCUGCCGUGCGAUGCGGUGAGCACGGCAAGAUGCCGAUGAUGUCGUGCGAUACGGCGAGGCUGUGAGAAGCAGCGAGACGCGACGAAGCUGGAGGAUGAUGGGCUGCUCGUUCAGGUUGAGCCGAGUGAUUUGGCCAAGCCGUAGUUAGUUAGAGUGUGCUGGUUGGUUGUAGCUAGCUAGCUUCGUGCAUGAAGUAGUAGGCCACGUUGAGACGUGGAGCUAGUUUUAGAUAUGGCCGAGUCGUGUGGCCGUUGGAGUGAUUUCAGGAGUAGGAUAAGGCUGUUAGUGCAUGCAUAGAUUAGUGGGAUUAGUUGCCGAGAGAGGUGGCUGGCCAGUGCGUGUAUGGUCCUUGUAUAUAUAUGUUUCAGUGGAGUAAUGAAGAGAGGAGGCCGAGAGGGCUGAGCAGAGAAACCAUGUAGCCAUUGUGGUUCACCAAGGGAGUGUCUCUGGCAAAGCCGUUCCUCUUCCUUGGUAUAUGCGUGCGUGUGUGUGUGUGUGUUCAUGAGAGAGUUCUUGAGAGAAAACACAAGAGAAUUGUGUGAGAGGGAGAAGAGAGUUGUGAGAGGCAACUCGAGGUAGAAGAAGGAGCGGCGCUGCGAGGAGGCGGCGCCAACAAUUGGCAUCAGAGCCUUGUUGAUCCGUGGCGGCGACGACGGUGCCGGCGGCUAUGGUGGCCGGCGUGGCGCUGGGCGCGAGGUGAUGGCUGGCAGCGGCGCGAUGCCGCGGGCGGCCGGUUGCGGUGCGAUGCCGCGAGAUGAAGGUGGUGCGAUGAUCGGCGUCGCGAGGACGUCAUCCACGACAAGAUGGUCCGUGGUGACCGGCGCUGCGACGGCGUCGGUUGUGGCGCGACGGACUUCAUGCGAGAUGGAGGCCGACGGCGCAAGAAGGAGGAUGGUGGCCAUGCGGUGCCGCUAUGUGAAGAUGGCGGUGCGAAGCUGCCACAAGAAGAGUCGGCGUGAUGCCGACGACGGUGGUGUGAUGCCAUCGUCAUCAUGGAAAGUUGGUGUGAAGCCAACAAAAGUUGCGGUGCGAUGCCGCUUGGCGAAGACGGCGUGGUGAUCGGCGCUGCGACAGCAUGGUCCACGUCGAGAGGAGGCCGCCACGAGCGGCAAGUCGGCAUGGUGACGGACGCUGUGAUGGGGUCGUCCACAACAAGAUGGUGCAUGGUGGUUGGCGCUGCGACGGCGUCGUGCACGGCAAGGUGUUGCGGGCGAUCCGCGAGAGGAACUGGCGGUUUAGCAUGACAAGAUUAGGGAGGUGAUUGUUAGCACUAAUCUUGUCAUGAUGUACCAGCAUGCAUGUUUAGUUUUGAGUUUGCAUGUAGUUUAGAUGAUCUAGGGCAGUGUAUGUAGGCCAAUGAUACUUCAGCUACGGGCGUGAAGAAAGCGAGAUGUCGGGCUGCCGUGCGAUGCGGUGAGCACGGCAAGAUGCCGAUGAUGUCGUGCGAUACGGCGAGGCUGUGAGAAGCAGCGAGACGCGACGAAGCUGGAGGAUGAUGGGCUGCUCGUUCAGGUUGAGCCGAGUGAUUUGGCCAAGCCGUAGUUAGUUAGAGUGUGCUGGUUGGUUGUAGCUAGCUAGCUUCGUGCAUGAAGUAGUAGGCCACGUUGAGACAUGGAGCUAGUUUUAGAUAUGGCCGAGUCGUGUGGCCGUUGGAGUGAUUUCAGGAGUAGGAUAAGGCUGUUAGUGCAUGCAUAGAUUAGUGGGAUUAGUUGCCGAGAGAGGUGGCUGGCCAGUGCGUGUAUGGUCCUUGUAUAUAUAUGUUUCAGUGGAGUAAUGAAGAGAGGAGGCCGAGAGGGCUGAGCAGAGAAACCAUGUAGCCAUUGUGGUUCACCAAGGGAGUGUCUCUGGCAAAGCCGUUCCUCUUCCUUGGUAUAUGCGUGCGUGUGUGUGUGUGUGUUCAUGAGAGAGUUCUUGAGAGAAAACACAAGAGAAUUGUGUGAGAGGGAGAAGAGAGUUGUGAGAGGCAACUCGAGGUAGAAGAAGGAGCGGCGCUGCGAGGAGGCGGCGCCAACAAUUGGCAUCAGAGCCUUGUUGAUCCGUGGCGGCGACGACGGUGCCGGCGG
rnacentral:lncRNA from 1 species